CCUACGGGUGGCUGCAGUGGGGAAUAUUGCACAAUGGGGGGAACCCUGAUGCAGCGACGCCGCGUGAGCGAAGAAGGAAUUCGUUUCGUAAAGCUCUGUCCUAUGGGAAGACAAUGACAGUACCAUAGGAGGAAGCCCCGGCUAACUACGUGCCAGCAGCCGCGGUAAUACGUAGGGGGCGAGCGUUGUCCGGAAUCACUGGGCGUAAAGGGUUCGCAGGCGGAUAGGAAAGUCUAAAGUAAAAAGCGAGGGCUCAACCCUCGUAAGCAGUAGAAACUAACUAUCUUGAGAAGUGGAGAGGUAAGUGGAAUUACUAGUGUAGCGGUGAAAUGCGUAGAUAUUAGUAAGAAUACCGGUAGCGAAGGCGACUUACUGGACACUAACUGACGCUGAGGAACGAAAGCGUGGGUAGCAAACAGGAUUAGAUACCCCGGUAGUC
rnacentral:rRNA from 1 species